CUAGAUAACACAUGAGCUGUGGUGUAGGUUGCAGGCGAGGCUGAGAUCCUGCAUUGCUGUGGCUGUGCCAUAGGCUGGCAGCUGCAGCUUCAAUUCUACCCCUAGCCUGGGAACUUCCAUAUGCCACAGGUGUGGUCCUAAAAAUCAAAAUAAAACAAAACAAAAAAGGAACAUGUACCAUGAAGAUAGGGAAUAUUGCUUGUCUGGAUAUAUUUAUAAUAUUUACAACUUUGAAAGAUAAUCUUGAUCUAUAGUCAUGAUAUUCAAUAGGAAUAAACUCUAGCUCAAAUAUAUAUGUUCGUGUGAAAGUGGCAGAAUUUGAUACCCUUGUAAGCCCCAAUGUGCUUUUACAACUUCCCUGGAUGACUCUAUUGCAUUGGAAAAAACAAAAAAAGAACCAAAAAAACAUAGUACAUUUUAAAUAGCACUCACUGGAAAAGAGCACAGAAGGUGAUUUGAGUUUCCUUGGUGUGAUGACUACUCUUAUUCAAUUGUUUUCACAGACCAUAAACAAUACUGAAAAAUGUCUGUCUGAAACUCGGCCUUGAAUGAAGAAACUUCAUUGAACAAGAAGUUGGCUUCCAGUUUUGCACAGGCGUCAAUGGAAUGCUUUUCUUUUUUAUUUUAUUUUUUUAAUUUUCUACUUUACUCAAUGAAAAUGAAGUGUUUUUAUGUGCUGUGCAAAUGGUUCCUUCAUGUGGUUUGACAGGCUUUUUUUGCCAUCUUUUUUUUUUUUUCAACUAAAGAAAAAAGAUACCAGAAGAGGACAAAAACAAUAACAAACAAAGCAAAACAUGGAAGAUUGACAUUUAUCUGGAAGAACAUUUGAAUGCAGAAUUUACCUGAAGGUGUAGAUAGAUUUUUUUUUUUUAACAGAAAAUCUGAUGUCAAGAGGUAGGCAAGCAGAAAUGGAUAAAAAUUGUCUUCCUCAGUAAUUAAGCUACUCUUUCUUUUUCCUUUCUUGUUUAAAUCUAGUGGGUUGGGUUUUUUAUUUUAUUUUUUUCUUAGAAAUAUUUAGGUAAGGUUUAUCUUGAAUCUUAAUUGCCUUAAUUUUAAGGACGUCAAAGGCUCUCGAGGCAAGCUGUCAACGUCUUGUUAAAAAAAAAAAAAAUCAAGAAAGAAUUGAAAUAUUGUGCCAGCUUUCACUGGUACAGAAGUUUAAGACUAUGAGUUUUUAGGGUGAAAAAAAAACUGUACAGUUUAAAAGAAAAUGUUUUUCUUCAUUUGAAGAAAAUUUGUUGAUAAAAGAAACCAUGGCAACUGCAAGAAUUGGGGAAAUGCUGGGACUUUUCAUGAACUUUGUCUUAAGUGUUGAAUCAUUCUAGAAGGCUAAAACAUUUUACGGUAAAGUUAUUAAUGUUGGUUUAAAAACAACUGCAUUAGAAAUAAUGCGUGUUUGGGGGGCAGAAUGCAGAUUUUUUUUAUUUACAAAGCGUGAUCGCUAGCAAAAGCAUUAGUGCUUUUUAUCUGCAGUCUUUUUUAUGAGCUUUACAAAGUUUUUAGUCAGCUUUGCUUGUCACAUUGCAAAACCUAGCUUAAGAGCAUUAAACAAACAAAAAACUUAGGUAGAUAGGAGCUUGUGGUCAAAAAGUGCAAAAAAAACCACAAAAAAAAAAACACAAAAAAAGCAAUAGAUAGAGAAAUUGUUGACAAUUUCUGUAGUCUUUCCUAGUUGUGAUCAAAUUCAGCCUAUGGAUGGCCUAUUUUAUACCAAAGAUGAAGUGGCACCCUAUUGCAGUCCAGAAGAUAGAGAUUGUUUUUCUUUUCUUCUUUUCUUUUUAAAAUUUUAUUUGACCUACAUGGCCGGACCAGUUCUUACUUUGUUGUUUGUUUAAACUACCUUCCACUGAUGUUUUACAUACUGCAAAAAAAAAAAAAAGUUUUUUUUAUUUUAAAUGUAUAUUUGUUGAUGGUAGAAGCUUGUUCCUGCAUAUUCAGCAAUUUCAUCAUGAAGAGUUCUGGAUACCAACCAAAUGGCUUUCAAUUCCAUGAGCUUUUCUGGUUCCUUCCUAGCUCUCUUGAAUGUGAAACCUGUGUUGAUGGCCACAAUGAGCUAAGACACUUACUUAACAGGUUUAAAUUUCUUUAUAUGAAUUUUGAACUCAAGAUACUUCCUGAACUGGUCUGAAAGAUCACUUGUCAAAAAAGCUUAGUGAUACUCUGUUAAGUGCUGAGUGGUCCCCUGAAAAGGUCUUUAUUGUAUUUCUAACAAUAGUCUUCCUCUUAAGCUCUUGCACUUCUAGAUUCUGUCUUCUCACCUCCAUCUUUGUCAUCAUCCACUAUAAAUAGCCACCUUGACUCUGCAACUGGGUGAGAAUAUCUCUCUUUUUUGCCUCCUUUCAUUGUUUUUUCAUAUCCUGGUAUUGUCAGAAGAAAGACAAGAUAGAUUUUUUAAAUUUCAGUUUAACUCUCUGAGGCAAGUAGAACCAAUAAGAUUGAGGAUUCCGUUAGUGGAAUUUCGGUAAGCUUUUGAUGCUAGUUGACAAUCAAGAAAUUGUAUGACUUAUAAGAACCAAAACAAUAAGAUUUGAUCAAUCAUUAAAGCCAAAGGAGAUAUAUUUGCAUUGAGAAUGAUAUGAAACUUUGUCUAAAAUGAAUUAAAUCAAUUUAUGAAAUAUCUCUGCAUAUUCAAUUCAUGAAAUCCAUGUUCAUCCUGUACAGUUUUACCUGAUUAAGUAUAAUGGAACUUUGUUAAUUGAACCAUGCACUAGAAUGGCUGGAUUGUUAGAAUCAAAUAGGUGAAAACAAAGUCACGGGAACCUGUCUUAAUCCAGAUGGAAUAGGGAAAUUCUUAAAGUGCAUUGUUAAAGAAAACAGGGUAGGUAUUUAAAAACUAACAGGAAAAAAGUUAAAAGGUAAAACAUAUUCCCAUUGGGUCAACAUGAGUAAUGAGUUUGACUCAUAUAAAAUUAUCAAUAUUCUACUAUCUGUGACCUAUAAACAAAGACCUUGUGUGGAAAUAAACCCAAUUCUUUUAGUUGAAAAUCCCAUAAAGUGGAAGCUCAUAUCUAGAGAGUGAUUCCAUAUCUGUGUGGUCAGAUCAGAGGAAAAAAUAUAUCCAAGAAAAUGUAGCAUGUGCUACAUUUAAAUUCCAACUGGUCACAGCCACCCUUGUGGUUUUCCAUGCUUUGGAGAGAAUUUUAGAUUUAUACUUUCUUCUGAUCCAUUCUUCAGCUUCUCAUGUAUUUUAAGGGUGGCACUUAAGUUUUCUCUUUGAGAAACUGGCCCCCACGUUACAGGGGGGCGAUAAGCAAACAUGUAUGGGAACUGGGUUUUUGUUUCUCUUUUUCAGUCUCUGAACUCUUUGUAUAAAUAAGGAUUAUCCUGAGCAUAAUUCAUUUGAAUAUGAAAUCAACAUGCUUUCUUUCUCUUCUGUAUUAAAAAAAUGUGAUACAAAGAAAGUCUCAUUCACACAGUCAACAAUGAGGCUAAGAGGUAGCUACCAUGUGGCUGAUGAAUGUGCCUGGGUAACUUCCUGUUUCUAUUCAAAACUACUGCUUUAUUUAUACAUUCAGCAACAUUUUUUUCAACUAUAAAAUUUCAAUAAUCUCAAUUUUUUUAAGCCACUUCAGGUAAAAUGAAUCAACUUGUCAUCUUAUGCGUCCAUGUGUGCUUUGUUUUUAGAUUUUUUUUAUAUUACGCCAUUCUAUAAAAUACCUUAUUUCAAAUCUAAAAGAAAAAAAUAAGAAAGUGGUCCAUGUUCAAAUUUGCACAUGUUAUUUUACCUAAAAAUUGUUUUUUGAAGAGUCAAGUCUGGGAGAAAAAAUAAAAGCAUCCACAGGUAAGCAGCAUUACCUUAUAUGAAAAGUAAAACAAAUCAAAACAAAUCUAUAGGUGUUUAAUACCUAUAGACAUCAGAAUCAUAAUUUAAUCAACAGUAUGGAUUAUGGCAAUUUUAAUUCAAUUUAGGACUACAAUCAUUUUUUAAAGUAUUCUGGUUCACUCCAUUUCAAGCAUUUAUUCAGAGGUUUCCAUGUUUCCUUUCAACAAGAAUUACCAAGACUUAGCCUGAAUGUCAGGAAAGAAACUGAAGCCACAAUCCAAACAGGAUAAACAGCAUUUCCUCCAAACUUACUGACAAGGUCAUUGGAGGAGUGGAUAUUCUAAUAGUAAGAAGGCGUUGUCAGGAAGACUGCAUAUUGGCUUCAUGUUCCUCAGAGCAUGGCCAUGGGAGCCAAAGGCAAUAAUUUAAAGGCAAUAUCUGCAGGGGGAGGGGGGCUGUUUUUCUUUCAUCAUGGGCAUGUUUUGAAUAUUGCAGGUAACAUGAUAUCCCUAAAAAACAAAACAAAACAAAAAAAACCCAAAAAAGAAAAAAACCUUUCUAUCCCACUCCAGUUUGGUCAGGGUUACUUUGCUUCCUUGGUAGAUUUCAAUCAUUCAGAUGUUGUCGCCAGGCUUCACCAGAAUCAAUUCUCCUGUGACUUAAACAGACCUGCCAUAUUUGACACCAUCUAAGACUCACUCCCACCUGUCCCAGUGGAAAAUCCACAUGGUGUUAAAAGCAUCCAUACUAGAGAUAGAAAGCUGAGGGCAGGAUGAAGUAGGGAGUUCACUGUAUCUACUGAAUACAUCAACCCCUUACACAACAAUUUUAAGAAUAUUUGCCAUCCAAGUGUGACAAAAUAAGAGCACUUAGUUUUUUAACUUUAUUUGAAUAACUGACUUGUCAUAUAUAUAUAUAUAUAUGUAUAUGUAUAUAUACUUGUAUGUAUGUAUAUACAUAUAUAUACUUGUAAGUCUUUCACAGUGGCCUAAAAUUCCCAUUAUCAAAAGGUGAGAUUUGAUUAAGACUGCAGUCUUCUUUAUGAUUGAGGAAGAGUUUCAAUGGACUGUCUAGACAGGUAAUAAUCUUAGUCGGAGACUGCAAAUACAUUUAAUAAUCCAGCUUCAUUUUUGAGGGCACAAACCACUGCAAGAUAUGAGGUGAUAAAGAGAAAUUUUUAAAUGGGUUUCAGUGAUAAAGGUUUUUAUAUGAUAUAAAAUCAAAUGAAAGGAUAAUCUUUGUGUAUGAAGAUAACAGCAUUCAAUGUACUUUAUAAUCAAGGUCAAAUAUGUCAUAGAAACUCAAUCUAUAUUAUAUUGUCCACAGUAGGGCAUAAGGAGGAGGUUUUGUUUUUCAUGUCAUUGUGACUGACAUGAUUCAAAAACCUGAGCUCUUGGGGACUGACAGCCCCUCACUCCAAUUUGAGGAAUUGACAGAAUUGAAACAGGCUCAUGGAUUCUGUACAUGCUAUCCUUCCUGUGGCUGAGUAAUAAUGGGAUCAAAUUAAUGAGUCAAUUUAUUUUGCAAAUGACAACUACUGUGGCAUUGGAAGAUAGCCAAGGCUAACUCAAAUUGAACAUUUCCUAGCAAAUAUUCUUAAAUAGGAAAUUAUUUCCUUAAUCCGAGGGAACAAUUCUUGGUUACAGCUGUCAUUUUGUGGAUGCCAUAGAGUUCAGGAAAGUACAAAAGCUAAGUAUAAAAUCCCUGAGUGGCUCAAAUGAUCUUUUUUGAUGUAAGGCAUGGGCGCUCACCCAAGAUUGGUGAUUUAUUUUAUCUUUUGUUUUAUACCCCAAUACAUAUGUUCACUGCCACAUAGAAAAGGAUGGAUGGCUUCUUAAUAGUUACUUCUUUGUAUUUCUGGGAAGGAAAAAAUUAUUUUAAGAAAAUUUCUUCCACCCAGAAGCUCUUAAGCUGAAGCAGAGGUAGGAUCAAGCUGGAGUCUGCAGGAAGAACCACUAAGCCACUGGGUCACACUUUUCUCCCACUGUAUUCCUUCCAUUUAGUGGCUGCCCUGAUGACCAGUCUUAAAGAAGUGCAGUCACUUCUGAUUUUUGAAGGGCUAAUUGUCUACUUUGUGGAUUUGUUUUGUCUUCUCUUUUCAACUAUUAGGACUUGGGCUCUAUUUCCUUUUAUUAGCAUUUCACACUAAGGAUGGAAAAAAAAAUCUGGAAGUAAAAUUCAAAUCAAUUUUUUUAAGGCUUGAUUUAGUGAAACAGUUUGAAAUCACUGGUUAAAAUUAAUGUCAGUGCACUAUAUACUGUCAUGUUUGAAUAUCCAUAUUGUCCUUUUUCCAUCCACUACAAUUGAGAGUUGGCUGUAUUUUUGCAAAAUACAAAGGGGGGGAGAAAAAAAAGCUCUAGCAAAGAAUUUGGCUUCCCUCAAAAGAAAACUGUUUUGGGUUUGUUCACUACUGAAAUUUGAACCAUUAGAACAGGUCAACUCAAAAUUGAGUUAUGAGAAUAUAGUAACAUCUCUUUGUUAAAUAUGCAGGUGUAUCCCUAUUUUUGACAAAAAAAAAUUGCAUUGUUCAGUUAUUUUUUGACUUUGCAUUACCAUAUUAAGGCUGAAUGACCUUGAUACUCCAGUGGAUUAUUUUAAAAUAAUUAUUUCAAAUUUAAGUAGCAUCCAAAGUGUAACUUUAGUGUUAUGCUUUGUAUUUUAAACCCAAGGUCUUACCUUAUUAAGAAAGAUGCUCUGUUGUCCUCCACAAAAUAGUUAUUUCCUCAUAUUAAAAUAGUUAUCCCAUACUUUUUAAGAACUAUAAAAACAAUUUCAAAGAGACAUUUGGAAAAGUUUUCUCCGUU
rnacentral:lncRNA from 1 species